rnacentral:rRNA from 1 species
GAUGAACGCUGGCGGCGUGCUUAACACAUGCAAGUCGAACGGAAAGGCUCUUGCUUGCUGGGGUACUCGAGUGGCGAACGGGUGAGUAACACGUGGGUGACCUGCCCUGCACUUUGGGAUAAGCUUGGGAAACUGGGGCUAAUACCGGAUAGGAGCACAUUUUGGAUGGUGUGGUGGAGAGCUUUUCGGUGUGGGAUGAGGUAGCGGCCUAUCAGCUUGUUGGUGGGGUAAUGGCCUACCAAGGCGUCGACGGGUAGCCGGCCUGGGAGGGUGGACGGCCACAUUGGGGCUGCGAUACGGCCCAGACUCCUACGGGGGGCAGCAGUGGGGAAUAUUGCACAAUGGGCGCAAGCCUGAUGCAGCGACGCCGCGUGGGGGAUGACGGCCUUCGGGUUGUAAACUCCUUUCGCUUGGGACGAAGCGCAAGUGACGGUACCUGGAGAAGAAGCACCGGCUAACUACGUG